UGCUGGGGAAGGGCUGCUCAACUUCCAUGGUGCAGACAGAUGGUUUCUUCCUUUCUGUUUUCAGGCAGGUGUGGCUGAUUUGGAUGCUGGUUUGGUGCAGGAAGUGGAAAAGCUGCAGAAAGAGGCUUUGGAGACUGGAACUUCCUCUUCCUCACCCGUUCCUGGGGAGAAGAAGGAAGACAAGAAGAGUGAGGAGCAGAUCAACUUCCCCCCAUCCAAGGCAGAGGCGUUUGAGCUGUUUAAGCAGGAGGCUGGACGUGAGAUCAGCAGGAUCUUCAAGGAGAACAAGAGCAUCCUCCUCGCCAGGAAGAGGAGCAGCAAUUCCCUGGCCCGGAGGAUCAACGACAUCAAGCGGGAGAUGGAGGGAGUCAGGGAGACUCUGGAGGGGAAGAAGCGGAAGCGGUGGCAGGAGGGAGAAUACACCGAUGAGGAGGGCCAGGUCAUCAUCGAUGAGAAGGAGUUUUCCCUCAUCCUGA
rnacentral:lncRNA from 1 species